GUGAUUGGACAUGGGGGCACCUGNAUCCUUAAUGCCGCGUGAGUGAAGAACGCCUUCGGGUUGUAAAGCUCUUUUGUCAGGGAAGAAACAGCAGCUCUAACACAGUCUGCGAAUGACGGUACCUGAAGAAUAAGCACCGGCUAACUACGUGCCAGCAGCCGCGGUAAUACGUAGGGUGCGAGCGUUAAUCGGAAUUACUGGGCGUAAAGCGUGCGCAGGCGGUUAUACAAGACAGGCGUGAAAUCCCCGGGCUUAACCUGGGAAUGGCGUCUGUGACUGUAUAGCUAGAGUGUGUCAGAGGGGGGUGGAAUUCCACGUGUAGCAGUGAAAUGCGUAGAUAUGUGGAGGAACACCAAUGGCGAAGGCAGCCCCCUGGGAUAACACUGACGCUCAUGCACGAAAGCGUGGGGAGCAAACAGGAUUAGAUACCCUGGUAGUCCACGCCCUAAACGAUGCUGACUAGUUGUUGGGAAUCUACAUUCUCAGUAACGUAGCUAACGCGUGAAGUCAGCCGUCUGGGGAGUACGGUCGCAAGAUUCAAACUCAAAGGAAUUGACGGGGACCCGCACAAGCG
rnacentral:rRNA from 1 species